rnacentral:lncRNA from 1 species
AACAUUGUUGGCGAAGACAGCAGCAGCGACGCCGGGUGGGGUGGCGAGGCCGGAGUUGUACUUGGUCAUCGUCAGCAGGAAGGUGCGCUUGCGAGGAGCUUUGGUAGUCGUGCUGCGGCGGUAGUACCGCAUAGAAGAGGAAGGAGAGCAAAUGUGUGGCAUAGCGCGAGGCUUGGCACCAGUGGAAGAGCACGACGCUAAGAUUGCCAUGGCCACGGUUUAGAGGAGCCCCAGGAUAGUGUUUGGAGAUUUACUAGUUUGCAAUACAACGGGAGUUGCUAGACAAUUUGGUUAUAUCCAAAGCGAAGCUGUAAUGGCGUGUAAAUAAACCAGAGGUACCCAGGGCGUUAAUUGUCUGUUAUCGCCCGUGUCCUUCAGGCCUGCAGGCCGUCAAAGUUCGCUACGGAUGUGCGUCGGCCCAGUCCAACCCAUCAGGCCAUGCCUAGGCCAUAGUCAGGAACUGUCAAGAUGCCGACUGCCAUGAUGCCAGUUGCAGAUCGCCCGUAUCCGGGAUUGUCCCAACUACGCACGUGGAUUGCCGACGUGCACCGACUCAAAACUGCCGGAAUGGAAGCCGCUAGAUAUUGCAGCAAACAUGAAUGUAAGAUAAAUUCAUAAAAUUUCACUCAAUUUUAAUAGUUGUCAAGAGAAUUUUGCGACGCUUCAAAAGUUUUGAAGGUCGUCAACAGCUUUCAACUGUCGCUCCCACAUGUGUAUGGUUGUAUUCCGGGCUAAUUUUUAUUACUCACAAUUUGCUGGCAAUGCGGUUUCACAUAUCAGGUGUAAGAUACCGCCCUGCUGUCCACGAUUGUGCUUUCGUGCUACGUCUACCAAACGCUUCAUAGCUCUGACAGCACAACACCAGGUCUACGUGAUACUAGACUUAAUAAAUACUAUUGACCUUGAUCAUCAUUCUGAGAUGAUUUGCCUUCAUUGCCUGCGGUACUCCGUACCAUAGCUCUGUGUGAAAAUCCAGGCCACGGAAGUCACUGUAAGACGCAUAUUUAUGCGAGGAGUUUCUGUUUUAACUGAUGCCAACACCAAGCUUUUUCUUCCAUUUCGAAGCUUCGGUCCACCUCGUCUACAGCAGCUGCUGACAAGCAAAAGCCGCUGAGUUUUACCAUGCUACCUUUUUCCUUAGAAACAUGACUUUCCAGGUCCGCUCUGGGAACGCUUAGACUGUCAGGUCUAAGCAAUGGUGGGCGUCGCCAUCACUCACCCUUUGUUGCUGCAUUCUUCGCCUUCUGCAGUUGACUCAGGCAUUUUUGCGUUUGGUUUACCUGUAGAAUCCGUUACCUGGUAGGCAUACACUUGCCAAGGUGUCCAGUAAGCGGGGUGCACGCACCUCCCAAGCAAGUCGAAGAACGCAGGCGCGCACGAACCGCUACCGUAUCAGCCACCGGAUGAAGCACUCAGCUUUAUUAAAAAAAGUCUUGACUGAACGCUAUAAUUGGUGCUGGGUCCUACAUUUAUAUCACCGUGCACAGGGUUGUUAUUCGGAGCCACCGAUUCUCAUAGACCGUGACAUGCAUGCGAAGCUUAAUUAGGAGGGAUGGCAAGUACGGUUGGAUUGAGUUGGUAGGGUGGUCGCCAGGAUUGGGAUAGAUCAACCGGGGAUUGAGAUAGACUGACGGGGGGAUUGAGAUUGACUGUGGAGGGAUUGAGAUUGAGACCGAGGUGGAUUGAGAUCGGGUUACCGUUGGAUUGAGAGUGUAGUACCGUUGGAUUGAGAUAGACGCUACCGUUGGAUUGAGAUUGCCUUGGGCCUGGAUUGGGAUUGAUACCCCGGAG